rnacentral:rRNA from 1 species
CAGCAGCCGCGGGAAAACGGAGGGUGCGAGCGUUAAUCGGAAUUACUGGGCGUAAAGCGUACGCAGGCGGUUUGUUAAGUCAGAUGUAAAAUCCCCGAGCUUAACUCGGGAACUGCAUUUGAAACUGGCAAGCUAGAGUCUCGUAGAGGGGGGUAGAAUUCAGGUGUAGCGGUGAAAUGCGUAGAGAUCUGGAGGAAUACCGGUGGCGAAGGCGGCCCCCUGGACGAAGACUGACGCUCAGGUACGAAAGUGUGGGGAGCAAACAGGAUUAGAUACCCCUGUAGUCCCUGUCUCUUAUACA